AAAACCUGCUGGUUUCCAAAGAACACUGUAUCUGCAGCCCAACACAUUAGAUCAGAUGAGCGGUUCAGCAAGA